UCUUGCAAGUGGGGAGGCUUUUCAUGCUGGUCGGAGAGAUUUUUCAGGCAGGGGGAGAGGUUUGGUUUUGAGCAGAGCGUGAGAGAUAGAGGGAUUUUCCCAUUGAUGAGAGUAAAGGGAGAGGGAUUUUCCUGUAGAGAGAUCCCAUUGCUGUGAGAGGAGAAGGAUUUUCCUGUGGAGAGAUCCCAUUGCUGUGGCUGUUAGUGAGGAGAAGAGGGUUUUAACUUUGCGAGAGAGAGCUGCGAGGGGGAAUUCUUUUGGCUUGGAGGUCAAGAUAGAGAGGAUUCCAGAGAGUGCUUUUAGAAGGAGGAGAAAAACAGAGGACUUUCUGGAGCAGAGAACCAGAGAGAGGGAUCUCUUGAGCUGGAGAGGAGCUUCAAGUAUGUUUAUUGUGGGUUUCUCAUUCGCUUCUACCGGUAAGUUUUUCUUCUCUUUUUUUUGUUGAUUCUUGGAUGACUUUUGUUGGUUGGGAGUAAGCAUGCUCAUAUCUCUUUCUUUAAUGAUUUUUGUUGAGGACCUGUUUGGCUCUGUUCCAGUUUCCCCAUGAGAUAUUUGUAACCUUGUUUUGAUUUUUAUUUGGUACUCAUUUGAUUUCACCCAUCCUCAUGUGAGCUCAUUGAUUAAUAUAUGAAAUGAGGCUUGUAUGAAUUCAUGUUAUUCCUGUUGCUUGCACUCUGUUUUGUUGUCUACCUUGUUUCUAGUACCCAUACCUGGACUGUGUUAUUUUCCUCAUUUCCACCUUUGGAAGCAAGGAGUUACAGAGGAUCAUUUCCAGUAGGAGAGUGCUUGGUGAAUACUUAGGCACAAAGAUGACGUGUUCAUCAGGGUAAGAAGGUCCUGAGUGUGCAGUUGCUGGGUGGAUACGUUGCCUGAUACUAUUGCCAUGUGACACCAGAAAAAUUGACUCCUCAUUUGAAAAGAAUCUUGCUGGGCAAAAGGUUCUUUGACUAUGGGACUGACAGGUCUUGACCGGAGUUAUGCUCAUCCAUGCACAGUUAUGAAACACCAGAUAUGACUGUGUAAUAUUGAGAUGUCCCACCGGUGGUAUUGAAGGUGCUGGAUGCGUUUUGAUACAUGCCGGAUGAGCAGAGAAAUCCACUUCAGGAGUUUCAGGAUGCCCACAUUCCAGGUGCCUUUUUUUCUUUGAUGUUAAUGACAUAUCAGACCAAACCACAAAUCAGCCACACAGGUUGCCAUCGGAGAAAGCUUUUGCAGUUGUUGUUUCUGCCCUUGGCAUUGGAAAUAAAGAUGGAGUUGUUGUUUAUGAUGGAAAAGGAAGUAUGCUCUGAUAAACUAGAAUUUAAAUAAAAUUGCUGUGGGAACUCAAAAUGAGACAAACGUGUUGACUUUAUUGAAACUAUGGAUAUUUUAAAUGAGCAUGCUCGUCUUAAAGCUGGAAUUCUCGUGCAUGAAGAAAUCUAGCAGCAAUGGGGAGUGCUGUGUAUGGACAGCUGGGAAGUCCUGUAGCUGAUGGAAAGAUUCCAACACUUGUUGAAGCAGUAGGAAAUCUCUGAAAACUUCUUUUGCUCCAAACAUGAACAAGCCAUAUCGCGUGUGUGAUGAUUGCUUUACCCAGUUGAAGAAGGCCCUGGAAUCUGGAUCUGUUCUGCGUAUUCUUAAAGCGAGGAGUAGUAAUAUACUUCAAAAGUCUAACGAGAUAGCAGAAAGAGACACAAUGGGUCCUAGAGUACAGGGACAACUGUCCAGACUCUCAUCAGUUGACUCAUUCAGUCUAGCUGAAAGCAAAGCCAAGUUCCAACGAGACUCAAUCCUCCCACUCACAAACCGGUGCAGCCACCAAUAGUUUAAGAGACACACUUAAUUUGUCUCCUAGAAAUAAAGCAAGCAAAGCUGUGUGCCGCCGGCGGCGAAACGCUUCCACUCUGACUGCGUCGUGCCCUCAGCUAUCGACUCUGACCGCCGUUUCUCCAGUCGACGCGUGUCGCUGGAAGACUUGACGCUGAUCGAUUCUCUGCCAUCUCAUCUGGCCCUCAUGAUGGCUUCGGUAUUUGUGAUAUUGUUGCUAGUUCCAUUAAGGCUGCUACCAAAGUGAUUGAGGAUCUGCAGGAGAAACUUGAAGCUGCUUUGCAGACCAUGAAGCAGUCUGUAGUUCAUACAAGGAAGUGAAUGAGAGGUUCAACGAAUUGCAUGGGAAGAAUGAAGUGGAAUUCAACAUCUGGAUUGAUGGGGGGAAAGACCUAAAUAUGCCGAGGGAAAGCUGCCCCUCAGAGCAUCAUGGUGGUGAGGUUCAAUACAACCUUUUCUGGGUUGCAAAAGGUAGAGAAACUACACAAUAUGUAUGCUGAAAAUCAACAUGGGAGAACUGAGUUCCAGCAGAUCAAUCUCAAUAAUGGCAAAACAAGCAGACCAAGUCCUAUCUGGAGCCGAGGCAAGGCCAACACUAACAAGAAGACAUACAGAUUCAGUAGAGACUAUCACAGUUACAGCUAUUGAAAUGCAGUUUCAGUCCAAGGAGGGUCUUCAGGAAUGCCUUUAAGGAUGUUUCUGAACAAGGUUCCUCACCAUCGACCUCCAUGUUUGUGCAUGAAGAAGUUACAGCAGUCAAGUCAGAUUCCUGGCUCCCAGCUGAAGGCUUCAACCCAAGCAAUUCUUUUCUACGCACACAUCAGAGUCCAGGGUAGUAAGUGCAUAGCCCAUCAAACUUUUAUGCACUACAUGGUGAUGUAUCUCAGUAUCAAAGGAAGAAAGGUUCUGGGCAAGGUAGAUGCUCAGAUGACGGGGACAUUGAGCUGGGCAGAUUUUGGUGCUGAAGUGGCAGAGAAUCAAAGCUCCAAUUAUGAUCCAGAGGGUGAAUAUGUGAGACAUUGGCUGCCCGAGCUGGCAAGAGUGCCCACUGAGUGGAUUCAUCACCCUUGGGAUGCUCCCUUUACUGUGCUUGAACCAGCAGGGGCAGCUUGGAAGUUCAUUCAGUGCAUCGAUGCUCAUGUAACUGCUGAAAGACACAUGCCAGAUUUUCAAGAAAGCCGAGGUUGCCAAGAGAUGGGAAAGAAGCAUGAGCAAGGUGAAAUUACAACCCGUGACCACAGAGAAGCUCGAUGUUACUACUGUUUUGGGGCUCCAUCUCCUGUCCCAACUAGGGUCACUGAUGUAUUCUGAGAGUAGUUCUUUGCUGAGAAUCCUGGUUCAUCAGCAGAGGAAGUUCAGUUAGAAAGAAACCAUGCAAAUUCUCGUGUGGAAUGACUCUUCCUGUCUGGGUGUCGUGCCAACACUGAGGAGGACGCUGUCGUUUCUCAUGCUCAAGUUCAGCAGCACCCCAUGCCCUCUUCCUCGCCCGUCAAAGAUAUUGCUUCACAUUGCGGAACGAAGCAUAACCGCUCCAUCUUAUAUCAGAGCGAUCAUCAUUCCGCUCCCCGCAAUCAUGACGGCUCCGGGUUUGGCACUGUAUACCAGGUUACGAUGAUGAGAAUGUUAGAGUUGGGUUCCCUCUCCGUCGCUGUCGAGGCUUCAAGGCUCCACGAAGAUCUAAUUCAUCCCGCAUGGACGUUGCAGCAGCUAUAAUACAGGCUGCAGUCAGAGGAUACCUGGUCUUGUAUUUGGGCUUGUGAGCAGUCCAACUAGCUUGUCACCUACGGCUGAGAGCAAGCUUAAUGAUGGAAGCAAAAAGAACGCAACCAGUAGCAUAUUGUUGAAAGCAGAUUGGACGUUAGUAUCCAUACUUCCAGUUUGAAUGCUUGGGAGCUUCUUCUGUUGCUGCCAAUGGUUUUCGGAUCUGACUUGCAGGGAGAAUACAGUCUGCAUGGUUGCUGCAUUGAUUUCAAUGGUGGAUAUUAUGGGUAUGCUCAAAUAUACGAGGCAUAUGGGUAUGCGCCACCUCCUCAAGACCCUAACAUCGUGCCUGACAUUGAAGAUUCCAUAGUUUUGGAUGAGAAGAUUUAUAUCCGCUGCGGCACUUCUGGCUUGACUUCUCAUGUGCAUGCAGUUGUUUACAAUCCAUCUCAUGGCACAUGGCAGCAGGCUGAUGUCGACAUGGUGUUAGGAUGACAGGUUCAGCUGUUAUUGUAGAUGAGACUCUUUAUGUGUUGAACCAGUGGUUGGAAGCGAUGGGCUUGAGAAGCCUGCAGUUGUCAUGAAAAUGAACCUCCAAUCUGUGCUGAUUUAGAAGAUGCAAAUGCUGCCUGGAAUGUCCCAUUACGAGCAUGUAUGCACAAAGUGCUAGUUGAUACAUUGAAACGCGGCUCUCAAUGGCCAGAGCUAUGGCCUGCAAGGUUGGAUAAAACUCCAUACUGGUUGACGAGUUCCCAGGUUGGGGUUUAUGGCAGAGCAGCACCUGGGGAUUUCACUGCGGACUAUGAACAUUGGAAACGAGUGGUUGCUAAGUCAUAUCUAAUGGGAUGUAUCUGUGGCAUCUUUAGGACCCAUUCUUUCUUUCUAGCCUGGCAUGCAUGGCCACCCUUCUGAGCCACGUGCCAUCCCUCAAACUCUUUCCCUCUAAUUUCAAAAUAAUAAUUUCCAACACCGUUUUGAAAUGUUUUUCCAACUUUUGGUUUUUAAAAUGUUUUCAAGUCAUCAAAUUUUCCAUCCUUAGGGUUUUUAGAUACCAACAUCUCAUUUUUAAUAAAAUUUGGUUGUCAUUUUCUUUCCGGCAAGCCACUUUUGCAUUUUCUUUGUUUUUAAAAUGUUUUUAAAAAUAAGUAAGAAUUAAAUUCCGUAAUUCCAAGUGAUGGAAUUUAUGGAAUUGAUUCAUGCAAAAUAAAAGGGCUUUGGUGGGGGCCCAACAUCAAAUAAAUUUUCAUCAAAAUAAAACUGAAUUUGAAUGAAAUGCCAUGUGUGUUGUUGAUGGUUCUUUAUCUGUUUAGUGACUCGCAGGCUAUAUUUUAUAUUCAUUACUAUGCACUAAUCCCAUUUUGUGAUAGCGCGUUGCCGUUUGCUAAUCAGGUACGCAUCCACUUUCUCUUCGGCUAUCCUCCAUUGCAUAUUUUGAUACUCAUAUGUGCAUGAUCGAUUCGAGUAUUCAUUGAUUUUCUCAUUGAUUGCCAUGUCAGCUUCAUUUUAGUAGUAGAGACCCGACUUUAGGGACUUAGAGGGGUGCUACGGUCUUUACCGUACCUUCCCGAUAAGUAACCUGACCCCCGAACCCGAUCCGAUUUUUCACAGACCGCUUUUUCCAAAAUAAGGAGUCACACUUAGGGUUUUUCUUUCUUAUUUUGUUUACCCUUUUAAAAAUAAAACAAAAAUAAGUGGCGACUCCAAGUCAUUUUCAAAUAAUCAAUAAAAAUCAAUUUUUUCAAAUAAUAAAAAUCGAGUUUUGCCAUCGAGUGGGAAACGCAUCGAGCAAUCGAAAUGCGGGGUCCAUAAUAAUAUAUUAAGAUAUAACUUAAUUUAAUGUUUAAUUCUUUUUCAACAAGCACUUGUAAAUAGCUGCCCUAUACACCUUAAAAUUCUCUUUACUAUAGAUUAACCUUGGAAGACAUUUUUUUUUAAAGUUUAUGAUUUUCGUUAUAAAAAUUGUUGUCAUUAAUAGUUAUAUUGAAAAAUUAAACAUUUCAAAAUUUAUGAAAUUUAUAUAAUAAAAAAUAUAUUAACUUUAUAUUUUUAAUUAUCAGAAUGAAACGGUAAUUUGUAAAAUUCUUAUAUUAUAUAUUAUUAUUAUUAUCUUGGAUAAGUUAUUUAUAAUAUCAUUAAGAUAAUAAUUAAAGAAACAAUAAUUAUAAUUAAUUAUUAUAUUAUUUAUAUGUAUUAGUAUUAAUAUUAUUCUUAUUUGAUAGACUAUUUAUAAUAAUAAUAAUAAUAAUUCUUAUUUAAAGACUUAUCAAAGUUGAUGACCUUUUGGGUAGUCAUCACCCCGUAGCCCGCACUAUAGGUAAUUCUCCCUAAAAGUUUUAAAAAAUUGUAACCUUUAGCACUUAGUAUUUACACUAGAUCAUGUCCGCUAUAAAUUUUAAUUAAUCUAACAUUAAAAAUGACCCUAUGAAACAUAGUUGUAUUAUUCAAUUUUUCAAGUCUAUAUUAAGGAGUUAAAGAAUUAUGAAAAGGAAAAAAAAUGUUUUUAAAAAAGAUUAAGAAUGAUUAUUUACUUUUCCAAAAAAUUACUAUUAUUUUGAACUUAUUUAAUAAAAAUUUUAAUGAAUAUUUAUGUUAAUUAAUUGAGACUGAACUAAAUAAUGAUCACAAAAUAAAAUAAGUAUUUGUUAUGAUUUGAUAAUUUUAAAAUUUUAUUUACAAAUAAAUCUAUAACCACAUUUGUUUUAUUUCGUAUGCCUUUUUAGCCCACACUAAUAUCAAAACCAUUUUUGCUUUUAAUGGCAACUAAUGAAUGCAAGAAGAGAGGCGAGUGAAAAACAAAUGAAGAUAUUUUUUUUCUUUUUGUUUUUUUUUUUUCGGGAAUUUGAGUUGUGAUAUGUGGCCGGCCUGUAAAAGGACCAACUUAGAGCAAGCAAUGUUGGGAACUUGCAAAGCAAAUAAGCCUUUUUUUAAAAAAAUAAAAUAAAAUGAAUAAGAGCUUAUUUCAUAGGGAUGGUAGGAAACAUUGCUAAUCUUUUUAUCAAUUGAAAAAAACUUUUUUGAUAAUAAUUUUUAAAUUUUAGAAUGAUUAAAAAUACUUUCUAGAAUUAUUUGAAACAUAUUAUAACUCAUUGAUGCUCUUAGCCAAAUUAUGCAAAAUUUCUUUAUGUGUAAGAUUUGUCACAUGACACAUUUAGAUAAUUGACUAAAAAAAUUAUAUAUUACUUGAACUUUACAAUACUUAUUGAAAUAUUAAUAAUUAAAAAGAAAUUGUGAAAACAAGCAUACUUGGAAAGAAAAUCGGGAAAAGGGGGUUGAAAUCAUUGAAGUGUUUGAGUGUUUCUUCUCGAAGUGUUUUUAGUAAAAGUAUUUUUUUUAGAAAUAUUUUUAAGCAAUCAAGUGUUUUUUCAAAAAAAAUAUUACAAGUGACUUUUCAAUACUAAUUGAUUAUAAUGCAUGACAGUAAUUCUAAUAAGUGUUUCUAUCAUUUGUAACAUUUGAAAAUUUUUAUCUUUUCAAUAUUAAAAAUAUUAGAAAUACUUUCUAAAAUCACUGUCAAAUACAUUUUUAAUUUUUUUUUCAAAAAUACUUUUUAAAUAUUUUUUAUUUAUUAAAAACACUUUUUAAAAUCAUUAACAUGAUGGGUACCAAAUCCAUUUAUAAGUUUAUGAUUAUAGCUGCUAAAAGUUUUAGGAUUUCGAAUUUUUAUUUCGAUAUAUGGUUAUAAAAAAAUCCUGACACUUCAUAUAUUAAACAAAUGAAUACAAAUUAUUUAUAUUGUUUGAUAGGGAGCCAAACCAUUUAUGGAACGGCUCCUCCAAAAAUAAAUGUAUGCCGUUUUGGAUGGGGGGCACACGGUAUUCUUUAGUAAAAGGCGAAAGAAUAGUUCGCUUUGUGCUCCCCACACGGCUCCAUGUCUUCGAUCAAACGUUGACAGAUAUUUUAUAAGCAAGUUUUUUGGAGGUUCUUCUGUCUGGGAGCGAUGUGGGACACUAACAGACGGUGCUAAUGUGUUAUAAUGGCUCCGCUUAAUUCUUAUUUGGGCUGACAGCUAUAAUGGACCUGCCCCAACACCCAUGUCAGACCACUAGGAUUAUGGGCCUUAAUAGCGCCUCCUUUUCCAUUCCUUAAUUUUGAAUCCAUUUUGGGGAUAUUUAUACAUGUCUGACUCUGCUUUUGUCCCCUUCUUUUUUGUAAUGAUCAUAUAAACCUUUAUUUAUAUCAGUAUUAAUUUGAAGAAGAAAAUCUGAAAAUUAUUUGUAAUGGCUUUUUAAGUAUAAAAUAUUUGAUUUAAUAAAGUAAUAAUAAAUUCAUAUUUAUUCAUGUUUAUAAUAAAUAAAUUAAUAAGAAAUUCAUAUUUAUGCAUGUUCGAAUAAUGUUCUUAUAGAUAUUGAAAAGUUAAAAUAAGUCCUCUAUUAAAUUUGUAUCUCUUGCUUGAUUACAUAAUAUUCACACUUAUUAUCCUUUUAUAUUCAAGUAUCUUUGAUAUAAUAAAUAAUUCUUUCUAGUCUCUAAUUUGAUUACAUAAUAUUAACAUUUAUUAUCUCGUACCAAGGUUUGAAAUAUCGAUAAAUAUGGAUAUAUCGACACUUGGAUUUUACGGAUGACAAAAAUAUCGGUAGGACAAAAAUGAUUAAAAAUUCAUGAAAUGGUUACAAAAACUUCAAAUAGAAAAAUUAUAAAAUAAGCAAGAAUACAUACGUAUUAAAGUUAUUUUGUUAGUGUAAUUGAUAUAGGUAUGAUGAAAGAUAAUGUUUAUCAAUUUUUUUUAAGAAAAUAUUGACUUAAAUUCCUUAAAUAUAUUUAUAUUCAUUUAUUUUAAAAAUUAAAAAUUACUUUUAUUAAAACAUGUUUUAUUACAUUUUAAAUAAAAAAUUAUAUUGAUUUACAUAAAAUAUUUUGUUUGAGAUUUAAUUUCUAAAAUUUUGUUACAAAUUUGUGGUGACAAUUUUUUGCUAUUAAAAUUUUUUGAAUAAAUUUAUAUUUUUAAUAUUUUGAAAUAAAAAUAUUUAAAAUUGAAUAAAAUUAGAAGGAUAAAUAUAAAAAAUUAAAGUGAAGUGAUAAUAAUUUUUUAAAAUAGGAUUAAUGAGAUAAAUAUGAAAAAUAAUUAAAAAUAAAAGAAUAAUAGAAAAUAAAAGGGUGAUGUAAAUUUAAAAUAAAAGAUAAUUUGGAAAAAAUUUAAAAAAAAAAUGACUUUUUGAAAAAACCGCUUGAGGUUUUUUGGAAAAGCACCUCCCCAUGUGCAUGUGCCUACAUCGUCAAUUUUUUCGAUGAAAUUUCAGGAUUUUCCCAAAAUAUCACCGAUAUUUCUUCAAUAUCACUUAUUUUUUUGGAGAUUUUUCAGUCAAUUUAUAAUUGAUCGUCGAUUUUGUUUCGACCACCUCUGAUAUUUGAUACUUCACCGAAAUUGGUGAAAUUUUCUGAUUUUUCAAACCUUGUUUGUAUCUUUAAUAUUAAAUCAUAUUCAUGUAUGUUUGAAGGGAUUAAAAAAUAAAAGUUCUAUUUUAAAUUACAACUCUCAUUUGUUUAUAUAAUAUUAAUAACUCUUUUAUAUAAAAGGGUUAAUAAAUUCAUAAUCAUGUACUUUGAUAAUAAAUUCAUGUUGAUUACAUAAUAUUAAUGUUUAUUUUACUAGUGAUCAUAUUUUUUUUUAUAUAUAUAAUAUAGAUAAAAUUUAAUAUUUUAAUGAUCAAUUACUAAUAAGAAGCUCUCCACCUAAAAAUUUAUCAUUUUUAUUAUCUUUUAACUUAAACCAGUUUAUAAGAUAAAAUUUAAUUUCAAAGAGUUUUUUAAAUGUUAAAAAUCACUUUUAAAAUUUGAAGAGCUCAUUUGGUAAUACUUUUUAAAAGUGUUUCUAACCCUAAAAACGCUUAAAAGCAUUUUUAAGGUAAAAAAAAAAUAGGCGUUUGGCAAUAUUCUAAAAAACACUUUUGAAAAUUUAGAAAAACACUUGAAGUGUUUUUUAGAGAAGCACUUGGGAGGUGUUUCUUUGAAAAAACACUUCAAAGUUUUUCAUAUAUUCCUAAAAUACCAUUUCCUGCUAUUCUCCAUUUCUCUUUCACUUUCCACUUCCUUCUCACUCUCCCUUUCCUCUUUCACUUCCCUUUCAUAAAAAUAUUUUUUCUACCUUUUUUAACAAUAUAAAUGUUUAUAUUUUUUGUAAUAAAAUUUUUUGGUUUUGUUAGCCUAAGGGUUCUUCUAAUUUUGUUUUGAUGAUAACAAAUCAUGGUUAAGUUGCUAAUUGGUUUGAAUUAUAAAGAAUUUCAUGUGUUAGUUUGGAAAUUCAUUAAAUGACCCAAUGGAUGCGAGAUCAAGACAAUUGGAAGACUCUUUAAUCAUAAGAAACUUAUGAAAGAUGAAUGUAUGGGUGCACUUAGGAUUUUCAUAUCUUUUCAUGCAUCUUUAAAAUUUUGAUUUAUUCAUUAAAGUUACAUUUUCAUCAAAAUCCGAGUUUUAUCAAAUGAACCUUAGGAAAAUUGUUUCAAUAUUGACUUAUUAAUUUACCUAAAGACCUUGCCUAAGUGUUAGAAGUGAAAAACCAGAAAAAGAUAGGUUUUUGGACAAAAAAUGGUGAACUGGUCGAGGCAUUGGCCAACUGGCUUAACCAAUUAGGGUACUAGUCGAUCGAUUAUGCCUUCCCGGUCGAGGUCCGGUUGAGAGAUGCAAAAAACCUUCUCUUUCUUCCAGUUCCUUGCAUUCCUAGUCGAGGAACAUGCCUUCUCGAUCGAGGAACAUGCCUUCUUGAUCGAGAUCCAAUUAAGGUCCAGUCGAGGACUAACGGUCACUUGCCACGCAUUUAUUACCCAACGGCUAGUCAACCGGUUGACCCCUAACUCAAUCGAUCGAGGCUACUUUUUGGCAUUUUGGCUCCCGAUGCUAGAAACCUAUAAAUUGAGAGUUCCAUUUCAUUUAUGAGCAAAAGAACACCUACAUUUAUUUGUCUACCUACUUGUUCUAGCCUAAAAAUCUUUCACUCUUUCUUUGGUGCAUUAAAUCUCCAUUUGCAUAUUCCUUAAUGCACCUUUGUGUUUCAUCCUAGCAUUUGAGUUAUAUUUGAGCCCUUGUUGAGCUAGGUUGAGAGAUUCAAACUUUGUUAUUUGAGUGUUAAAAGCUUUAAGUGAAUAAAAACUUAAAGGGAUUGUGUAGGAGCCCAUUAGAGUUAGAAUCCAAGUGUGAAGGUGAUUAGAAGCUUGGUUGAAGCUUUAAGUUUAGUGGAACCCUCACUCAGUUAGGAGCUUGAGAAGAGUGGACGUAGGCAAGGAUGUGUUGAAGCACUAUAAAAUCUGAGUUUGUUUUCUCUAACUUUAUCUUUUUAUAUUUGUGUUUCCUUUACUUGAAUUUGUUGUGAUUGAAAAUGAUUUUUUAAAAACCCAAUUUACCCCUCCUCCUUGGGUGUUUUCCUAAUUAAGAUUAGUCUUUAUUUUCUCAAUUGGUAUCAAAACUAGGCCUCUUGUUUGAGACUUAAUCGUUUAAGAGGAAAUGACUAAUCCAUCAAACUCAUCUCACAUUAAAAGUUUUGCAUUCAACAGACCUCCAUUUUUUACGGGAACCGAUUAUCCUUAUUGGAAAACUAAAAUGACUUGGUUUUUACAAUCAAUUGAUUUAGACUUAUGUGAUGUCAUUGAAGAUGACCCAACUUUUCCUUCAAAACUAGUUGAUGGAGUCAUUGUUCCAAAACCCAAACAAGAAUGAGAUGAGCGUGAUAGAAGAAAUUUCCAAUUAAAUGCUAAGGUCGUUUAUACUUUGCAAUGUGCUAUGGAUAGAAAUGAAUAUAAUAGAAUUUGUCAAUGAAAAUUGACUAAAGAAAUUUGGAUAUUGCUUGAAAUAACUCAUGAAGGAACAAAUCAAGAUAAAGAUUCAAAAAUCAAUUUACUUGUUCAUAGUUAUGAAUUGUUUUUUAUGAAGGAUAAUGAAACUAUUGUUGAAAUGAUUACUAAGUUCACCGACAUUGUCAAUUGUCUUGAAGCCUUGGGAAAGACCUACAAGGAAUUGG
rnacentral:lncRNA from 1 species